UUGAAUUAAUCUAGAGUUGGUUGUUGCUGGCCUCUUCCCCUUGGGGGGAGGGGAGGCAUGUGCACACCUUCUCUUUCAUCCACACACACCUGUGCAUUUGUGAGAUGGAGGGCUGGAACUUUCUUUUCUAACCUCCCAUCUGCUAUUACACAAACUCAAUUUAAUUUAAACUGAAUGUAAUUGAUGUAACACAUCUAAUAC
rnacentral:misc_RNA from 1 species